rnacentral:rRNA from 1 species
AUUGAACGCUGGCGGCAGGCCUAAUACAUGCAAGUCGAGCGGAGCGGCGGACGGGUGGGUAAUGCCUAGGAAUCUGCCUGGUCGUGGGGGAUAACGUCCGGAAACGGGCGCUAAUCCCGCAUACUAUCAGAUGAGCCUAGGUCGGAGUAGCUAGUUGGUGGGGUAAAGGCCUACCAGGGCGACGAUCCGUAACUGGUCUGAGAGGAUUAACAGUCACAUUGGAACUGAGCCACGGUCCAGACGCCUACGGGAGGCAGCAGUGGGGAAUAUUGGACAAUGGGCGAAAGCCUGAUCCAGCCAUGCCGCGUGUGUGAAGAAGGUAUUCGGAUUGUAAAGCACUUUAAGUUGGGAGGCGUUACCAACAGAGGAAGCACCGGCUAACUACGUGCCAGCAGCCGCGGUAAUUC